rnacentral:rRNA from 1 species
AGAUUGAACGCUGGCGGCAUGCCUAACACAUGCAAGUCGAACGGGAGUAGCAAUACUCUAGUGGCGGACGGGUGAGGAAUACGUAGGAAUUUGCCCUUAAGUGGGGGAUAACCCGGGGAAACCCGGAUUAAUACCGCAUGACCUCGAAAGAGCAAAGUGGGGGAUCGCAAGACCUCACGCUUUUGGAGAAGCCUACGUCGGAUUAGCUAGUUGGUGAGGUAAUGGCUCACCGAAGGCGACGAUCCGUAACUGGUCUGAGAGGAUGAUCAGUCACACCGGAACUGAGACACGGUCCGGACUCCUACGGGAGCAGCAGUGGGGAAUAUUGGACAAGUGGGCGCAAGCCUGAUCCAGCAAUGACCGCGUGUGUGAAGAAGUCCUUGGUGUAAAGC